GCGGAAACGAAGCCGAAGGAGCAGGGCUGUUGGGUGAUCUAAACUGGGAAGACUAUGCUGGCUGCUGUGAUGAUUCUUUUUUGGCGUGUUAGACUGCUGAUGCAGAUGAAGAGACACUGAAUCUGAGCCACCAGCAUCAUUUGCCCAGGUGCAGGUGUGCCAAGAUUCUCACUUGAUAUUGAAUGAAAACCCCUGGAACUACUACUUGCCGAAUAAAGCAAUGCAAAGAGGGCUGAUUUGGGGAUGUCCUGAAUGUAAAUAAAUAAUUUUUAAAAUUUAAAAACCUGUUUACUUUGGGCAUUUUUUCAGACAACUUUGAAGCACUGCCUUUGAACUGGUGCAUGGCCCAUUCAUGGUCUCACUGGCUACGCUACAGUGCAAAAAUAAAAAGCUUGCUUAUAACUGGUGUUGCUCAGCUUAAACCUGAGUGAUUCUUUUAAAGACAAGUUACAAUCCAUCUUGUGCUUAAUGCCAAAAUUGCAAUGAAUGUUCAGAGUCUUGAUCUUCUGGAAGAAGUAUAUUGUGCAGGAGAACUUUGAUUCUAUCUUGUUCACUAGAAUAUCUGAAGAUACUAUGAAUUAAAGUUCAGAUGAGGAGAGAAUGUGGAGAUUGGCUUAUUUAUAUUUCAAAUUUAGUCGCCAUCCAUCUCACUCAAGGAGCGACUCUACUUGGGCUUAUUACCUGACAGUCUUUGCAUAACCAUCUCUUCAAUGACUAUAAUAAUCUAGCAUCAUAGAAGUGUUGUAUAAAAUCCUAUUCAGACAAGCCAUAAUGCACUGCAGUUACUAGAAUCUUAUUGGUGCCCAUUUUUAUCAAAAAGUGUAUGUCCACCCAAUUGAAUAUAGCACACAUGACCACCUACUAAAAGGAUAACUGUCCUUUACCCCAAAGAUGUGAAAGGUUAGUCAUAUGACAUAAUUUUAGCACACAAAUCAAAGUCCAUAUACAUCUAUACAAGCCCAAAGAGAAAGCAAGACUAAAGAUUACGUGCAUAGAAGGUGGACAUCACUUUAUAGAACAGGUCUUUGGCAGUCUAAUGGAACAUCUAUGAACAACUGGUGGUCAGAGCUGGGAUGCUGCACUAAUUUCCCUCCUCGCUGCCCAGGACGCAACUUCAAUAGAAAUGGAAAUGUUAGCACAAACCAGGUUUCAAAAGUACUAGUCCCUGGGUUAAGAACGACCAGUUUAUGGAUGACCCAUAGUUAAGGAUGGAGCCUAUUGUUAGCAACAUUUGAGUUAUAUACACAAUGGUUUGAGUUAAUUACACAUUACUUAUAUAGUAUUAUAUAAUACUGUUAGGCUUACAUACAAAUUUUACUUGAGAACAGACCUUGGGAAUGGAACUAGUUCUUAAACCGGGGACUACCUGUAUAGCCCUCUGAUGUAGCUGCAACUGCAACCCCAGUGUGUGUGUAAAUCAUAACCAAAGAGUUCAUUUGCAAACAACCACCCAUUCAAGUGUGUGUGUAACUGACAUGCAGCUUGCGAACCAAUCACCCAUAUCUGCUUUAAUGCUACUGAGUAUAGUAAUGAGACAUGCAACUCAAAAUCCUAUUAAAAAUGCAACACUAUUUCAAGGAGA